rnacentral:sRNA from 1 species
AGCAGCCGCGGUAAUUCCAGCUCCAAUAGCGUAUAUUAAAGUUGUUGCAGUUAAAAAGCUCGUAGUUGAAUUUCGGGGUCAGUAGGUCGGUCGUGCCACAGGUAUGCACUGGUCUCACUGAUUCCUCCUUCCUGAUGAACCGGAAUGCCAUUAAUUUGGUGUUGCGGGGAGACUGGACUGUUACUUUGAAAAAUUAGAGUGUUUAAAGCAGGCUAACGCUUGAAUACAUUAGCAUGGAAUAACGGAAUAGGACGUUCGAUCUUAUUUUGUUGGUUUCUAAGAUUGACGUAAUGAUUAAUAGGGAUAGUUGGGGGCAUUAGUAUUCAAUUGUCAGAGGUGAAAUUCUUGGAUUUAUUGGAGACUAACUACUGCGAAAGCAUUUGCCAAGGAUGUUUUCAUUAAUCAAGAA